AAAAAAAUUCGGACAUAUUUGCCCCCAAGUCCCAUUUAACGCCUUCGAUAUUUGGAAUUGAUGUUUCAGACCAAACCGAAAUAUUAGAUUUGAUUUCCCUAGAUUGAACGAGCGGAAGAAGAACACAACCAAUAUCAAUUGCUGCAAAGGGAUUGAUGUUUCAGGCCAUCUGUUAGCGUAUCUCGAAAAGUUCAAAACCCAAAUAUUAGAUCUGAUUUCCCUAGAUUGAACGAGCGGAAGAAGAACUUGAGUUCUCUGAGACUUAAAUUAUUUUCUAUUUUUUGUUUUUCAUAAUUAUUUUCUAUUCUCUUUCAUUCUCUGUUCGCAAAUUUUUAUUUCGCUAGUGUAACUAGCGGAUAGAUAUAUAAUAGCCAAUUUGGGAACGUAUUGCUGCUGCUUAAUUGGAUAUUUGGGAUUGCGGAAUAUUUGAAAUUGCCUUGGAUCUCUGCUUAAUUAGAUCUAUUAUUUGCUGUUGCUUAAUUGGAUUUGGGAUGGAUUGCGGAAUAUUUGGGAUUGCCUUGGAUCUCUACUUAAUUAGAUCUAAUAUUUGCGGCUGCUUAAUUGGAUAUUUGAGAUUGUUGUUGCUUAAUUGGAUCAACAGAUCUGAUAUUAGAGUGUCGCUCUGUGUCCGCUAGUUCAACGACGGAAUUUUAUUUUAAAUCUCAGUCCUUAAUUUAUGUAAUGUGUGAUGAAAUUAUUAUUUAUCAAUUUUUCAUCUAUAGUAAAUAUAUGCUGUAAAUCAUUUUUCUCUCUAUAUAUACACUAAAUUCGUCAAUAAAAAAUAUUUUUGGUUUUAUCUUAUCA
rnacentral:lncRNA from 1 species